rnacentral:rRNA from 1 species
UACGUAGGGUGCAAGCGUUAAUCGGAAUUACUGGGCGUAAAGCGUGCGCAGGCGGUUUUGUAAGUCUGACGUGAAAUCCCCGGGCUUAACCCUGGGAAUUGCGUUGGAGACUGCAAGGCUGGAGUCUGGCAGAGGGGGGUAGAAUUCCACGUGUAGCAGUGAAAUGCGUAGAGAUGUGGAGGAACACCGAUGGCGAAGGCAGCCCCCUGGGUCAAGACUGACGCUCAUGCACGAAAGCGUGGGGAGCAAACAGG